CCUACGGGUGGCAGCAGUCGAGAAUCAUUCACAAUGGGGGAAACCCUGAUGGUGCGACGCCGCGUGGGGGAAUGAAGGUCUUCGGAUUGUAAACCCCUGUCAUGUGGGCGCAAAUUAAAAAGAUAGUACCACAAGAGGAAGAGACGGCUAACUCUGUGCCAGCAGCCGCGGUAAUACAGAGGUCUCAAGCGUUGUUCGGAAUCACUGGGCGUAAAGCGUGCGUAGGCUGUUUCGUAAGUCGUGUGUGAAAGGCGCGGGCUCAACCCGCGGACGGCACAUGAUACUGCGAGACUAGAGUAAGGGAGGGGGAACCGGAAUUCUCGGUGUAGCAGUGAAAUGCGUAGAUAGCGAGAGGAACACUCGUGGCGAAGGCGGGUUCCUGGACAUUAACUGACGCUGAGGCACGAAGGCCAGGGGAGCGAAAGGGAUUAGAUACCCUAGUAGUC
rnacentral:rRNA from 1 species